rnacentral:rRNA from 1 species
UGAACGCUGGCGGCGUGCUUAACACAUGCAAGUCGAACGAAGCACUUUAUUUGAUUUCCUUCGGGACUGAUUAUUUUGUGACUGAGUGGCGGACGGGUGAGUAACGCGUGGGUAACCUGCCUUGUACAGGGGGAUAACAGUUGGAAACGGCUGCUAAUACCGCAUAAGCGCACGGCAUCGCAUGAUGCAGUGUGAAAAACUCCGGUGGUAUAAGAUGGACCCGCGUUGGAUUAGCUAGUUGGUGAGGUAACGGCCCACCAAGGCGACGAUCCAUAGCCGACCUGAGAGGGUGACCGGCCACAUUGGGACUGAGACACGGCCCAAACUCCUACGGGAGGCAGCAGUGGGGAAUAUUGCACAAUGGGCGAAAGCCUGAUGCAGCGACGCCGCGUGAGCGAAGAAGUAUUUCGGUAUGUAAAGCUCUAUCAGCAGGGAAGAUAAUGACGGUACCUGACUAAGAAGCACCGGCUAAAUACGUG